rnacentral:rRNA from 1 species
UGUUGCUGCCAAACCUCCUUGUCAAAGCCUGAUAUCGUCAGGUCUCAAAAGCUAAGCAGAGCUGGGCCUGGUUAGUAUUUCGAUGGGAAACGCUGGGAAUGCCAGGCGCCACAGACG